UUAGUACAUGUGUUUCCUUUUCAAGGAAAGCUGCUUGGAGGCUCAGCAGAUAUGCAACCCACCGGCGCAGACUCGGGAGAGGGAGUGUCACAACCCAAUGGCCCCCUCCCUCAGGGAGUUCUCUGGGAAGGCAGAUCAUCACUGUAUAUUGCUAACGCUGUUGCAAGCGUCACAAAGCAUUUUGGGGAGGGUCAAAGGUGUGUGAGUGGGGAGUGAACGUUUCCUUUGCAGGUAUGAGAGGCUGAGGGGGGGGGGGGAGAAGACAAGAGCAAGGAAUGGGUUAACUCUACAUUUCAGCUCACUCAGUCUCAGGUUGAAGAAAAGAUGCUGGCCCCCACCCAAGGCCAGAGCUCACAGCAAGCGCUGGCUGUCAGCAGAGAAAGACGGGGUGGGGGGCUUGAAAGUUGCCUGAGCGGCCGUGAGAGAAAUAUCCAACUACGCAGACCUGCACCUGCAGGACAGCGAGGCCAGCGGAGAAGAUAACAAAGCCCAGGGCUGCAGAGUCUGAAAACACAGACAAGACGACAAAAGGGGGAACCAAGCCAGGUGUCCCUGAAGCUGGGAUGUUUUGGGAAAGGGAAAGAAACCAGAGAAAGCGGUUUGGACUGGCACAAAGAGCACCAGAAAGAGAGCUCACGGAAUGGAACACCCCCAAAGGAGCCCAGGACUUAAACCCUCCUGAGAGCUGGAGCAAUUUGGAGAGCACAGCAGACCCUUGGAUGAGCUGGGCCCAGGACAGCACUCCCGUCCACCUUCCCCUGUUUUCUUCUGGCAUUACACCCAGGCCUGGCCAGUCUAGGAUUGUGCGUACACUUGCAGUGCCUCAUCAUCUCCUCCCGAAAAAGAUCUUGUGGUCCCAGCCUGAUCAACAGUGGGCCGAGGCAGAUUGGUAAUGAAAAUCUGUCACAGGAGAAGCUCAGAGCGGUGGCUUUAGACCGCAUUUACCGGAAGUGUGAAGAGUGUGAUCAAGUGGAGCUCAAGGAACAAGAGGGAGAAAUAGCAUCUGGAAGAGCAGGGAGUGCCUGGCUGCAGUUUCCUAGGGGCCCGAAGGGGGCGGCAAAGUCCAUAUUGACCCUUAAUGCCCUGCAUGCCGUGUCGUUCGUGCUGUGGGCCGUGCUCCUCGCCGUGGCGAUUGCAUAAUACGCAGAGAUGUCCAAGGAGCUGGAGCAGAUGCAGACUGAGCAAUCUGUGCUCA